GCGGCGGUCGUCUAGCUUGGUCUAGGACGCAGGCCUGCCACGCCUGAAAGGUGUGUAGUGCCCAGGUGACCCGGGUUCGAAUCCCGGCCGCCGCACCA
rnacentral:tRNA from 1 species